rnacentral:rRNA from 1 species
GGGUUGUGAGGUUAAGCGACUAAGCGUACACGGUGGAUGCCCUGGCAGUCAGAGGCGAUGAAGGACGUGCUAAUCUGCGAUAAGCGCCGGUAAGGUGAUAUGAACCGUUAUAACCGGCGAUUUCCGAAUGGGGAAACCCAGUGUGAUUCGUCACACUAUCAUUAACUGAAUCCAUAGGUUAAUGAGGCGAACCGGGGGAACUGAAACAUCUAAGUACCCCGAGGAAAAGAAAUCAACCGAGAUUCCCCCAGUAGCGGCGAGCGAACGGGGAGGAGCCCAGAGCCUGAAUCAGCAUGUGUGUUAGUGGAAGCGUCUGGAAAGGCGCGCGAUACAGGGUGACAGCCCCGUACACAAAAGCGCAUGUGCUGUGAGCUCGAUGAGUAGGGCGGGACACGUGGUAUCCUGUCUGAAUAUGGGGGGACCAUCCUCCAAGGCUAAAUACUCCUGACUGACCGAUAGUGAACCAGUACCGUGAGGGAAAGGCGAAAAGAACCCCGGCGAGGGGAGUGAAAAAGAACCUGAAACCGUGUACGUACAAGCAGUGGGAGCACAGGUUUACCUGUGUGACUGCGUACCUUUUGUAUAAUGGGUCAGCGACUUAUAUUCUGUAGCAAGGUUAACCGUAUAGGGGAGCCGGAGGGAAACCGAGUCUUAAUUGGGCGUUAAGUUGCAGGGUAUAGACCCGAAACCCGGUGAUCUAGCCAUGGGCAGGUUGAAGGUUGGGUAACACUAACUGGAGGACCGAACCGACUAAUGUUGAAAAAUUAGCGGAUGACCUGUGGCUGGGGGUGAAAGGCCAAUCAAACCGGGAGAUAGCUGGUUCUCCCCGAAAGCUAUUUAGGUAGCGCCUCGUGAAUUCAUCUCCGGGGGUAGAGCACUGUUUCGGCUAGGGGGCCAUCCCGGCUUACCAACCCGAUGCAAACUGCGAAUACCGGAGAAUGUUAUCACGGGAGACACACGGCGGGUGCUAACGUCCGUCGUGAAGAGGGAAACAACCCAGACCGCCAGCUAAGGUCCCAAAGUCAUGGUUAAGUGGGAAACGAUGUGGGAAGGCCCAGACAGCCAGGAUGUUGGCUUAGAAGCAGCCAUCAUUUAAAGAAAGCGUAAUAGCUCACUGGUCGAGUCGGCCUGCGCGGAAGAUGUAACGGGGCUAAACCAUGCACCGAAGCUGCGGCAGCGACGCUGAUGCGUUGUUGGGUAGGGGAGCGUUCUGUAAGCCUGCGAAGGUGACCUGUGAGGGUUGCUGGAGGUAUCAGAAGUGCGAAUGCUGACAUAAGUAACGAUAAAGCGGGUGAAAAGCCCGCUCGCCGGAAGACCAAGGGUUCCUGUCCAACGUUAAUCGGGGCAGGGUGAGUCGACCCCUAAGGCGAGGCCGAAAGGCGUAGUCGAUGGGAAACGGGUUAAUAUUCCCGUACUUGGUGUUACUGCGAAGGGGGGACGGAGAAGGCUAUGUUGGCCGGGCGACGGUUGUCCCGGUUUAAGCGUGUAGGUGUGUGUUCCAGGUAAAUCCGGUUCACUUUAACACUGAGGCGUGAUGACGAGGCACUACGGUGCUGAAGCAACAAAUGCCCUGCUUCCAGGAAAAGCCUCUAAGCAUCAGGUAACAUCAAAUCGUACCCCAAACCGACACAGGUGGUCAGGUAGAGAAUACCAAGGGCGCUUGAGAGAACUCGGGUGAAGGAACUAGGCAAAAUGGUGCCGUAACUUCGGGAGAAGGCACGCUGACACGUAGGUGAAGUGAUUUACUCACGGAGCUGAAGUCAGUCGAAGAUACCAGCUGGCUGCAACUGUUUAUUAAAAACACAGCACUGUGCAAACACGAAAGUGGACGUAUACGGUGUGACGCCUGCCCGGUGCCGGAAGGUUAAUUGAUGGGGUCAGCGCAAGCGAAGCUCCUGAUCGAAGCCCCGGUAAACGGCGGCCGUAACUAUAACGGUCCUAAGGUAGCGAAAUUCCUUGUCGGGUAAGUUCCGACCUGCACGAAUGGCGUAAUGAUGGCCAGGCUGUCUCCACCCGAGACUCAGUGAAAUUGAACUCGCUGUGAAGAUGCAGUGUACCCGCGGCAAGACGGAAAGACCCCGUGAACCUUUACUAUAGCUUGACACUGAACAUUGAGCCUUGAUGUGUAGGAUAGGUGGGAGGCUUUGAAGUGUGGACGCCAGUCUGCAUGGAGCCGACCUUGAAAUACCACCCUUUAAUGUUUGAUGUUCUAACGUGGACCCGUAAUCCGGGUUGCGGACAGUGUCUGGUGGGUAGUUUGACUGGGGCGGUCUCCUCCUAAAGAGUAACGGAGGAGCACGAAGGUUGGCUAAUCCUGGUCGGACAUCAGGAGGUUAGUGCAAUGGCAUAAGCCAGCUUGACUGCGAGCGUGACGGCGCGAGCAGGUGCGAAAGCAGGUCAUAGUGAUCCGGUGGUUCUGAAUGGAAGGGCCAUCGCUCAACGGAUAAAAGGUACUCCGGGGAUAACAGGCUGAUACCGCCCAAGAGUUCAUAUCGACGGCGGUGUUUGGCACCUCGAUGUCGGCUCAUCACAUCCUGGGGCUGAAGUAGGUCCCAAGGGUAUGGCUGUUCGCCAUUUAAAGUGGUACGCGAGCUGGGUUUAGAACGUCGUGAGACAGUUCGGUCCCUAUCUGCCGUGGGCGCUGGAGAACUGAGGGGGGCUGCUCCUAGUACGAGAGGACCGGAGUGGACGCAUCACUGGUGUUCGGGUUGUCAUGCCAAUGGCACUGCCCGGUAGCUAAAUGCGGAAGAGAUAAGUGCUGAAAGCAUCUAAGCACGAAACUUGCCCCGAGAUGAGUUCUCCCUGAGACUUAGAGUCUCCUGAAGGAACGUUGAAGACGACGACGUUGAUAGGCCGGGUGUGUAAGCGCAGCGAUGCGUUGAGCUAACCGGUACUAAUGAACCGUGAGGCUUAACCUUACAACGCCGAAG